rnacentral:rRNA from 1 species
GAUGAACGCUGGCGGCGUGCCUAAUACAUGCAAGUCGAGCGAACAGACGAGGAGCUUGCUCCUCUGACGUUAGCGGCGGACGGGUGAGUAACACGUGGAUAACCUACCUAUAAGACUGGGAUAACUUCGGGAAACCGGAGCUAAUACCGGAUAAUAUAUUGAACCGCAUGGUUCAAUAGUGAAAGACGGCUUUGCUGUCACUUAUAGAGGGAUCCGCGCCGGAUUAGCUAGUUGGUAAGGUAACGGCUUACCAAGGCAACGAUGCGUAGCCGACCUGAGAGGGUGAUCGGCCACACUGGAACUGAGACACGGUCCAGACUCCUACGGGAGGCAGCAGUAGGGAAUCUUCCGCAAUGGGCGAAAGCCUGACGGAGCAACGCCGCGUGAGUGAUGAAGGUCUUCGGAUCGUAAAACUCUGUUAUUAGGGAAGAACAACUGUGUAAGUAACUAUGCACGUCUUGACGGUACCUAAUCAGAAAGCCACGGCUAACUACGUG